rnacentral:lncRNA from 1 species
CCUGCCUACAGUCCAGGAUGCCUCAAGGCACUGCAACUCAAAGCGUGGUCUGCCGUCCUGCGGCGGCGGCAGCAGCUGGGAGCCUACCCCACUUUACACCUUCUGAACCAGAAUCUCUGGGGUUGGGGCUGCAGUUUACCAAGCUCUCCCAUGAUUUAUAUGCUCGCAAAGUUGAGAACCACUGCCGUAAAGUGUCUUUGCGUUAACCUCAGCUCCAGACGGCAACGUCUCCAAGCCAUAACCUUGCAGCUGUGAGAAACGAAGGGAGGAAAGAAGAUAAAGCAGAAGCAGCGAGGUUUGGGGAGGGAGGCGUUGGUCCCUGGGGAUGCUCUCUGGCCACUGGGACCUAGACUCUGUUGAGAGGCGCCGGCGACUCUUUCCAUAAACCUGGGCAGACCCCUGAGCCACACCUGUCUGGAAGAUUUGAAGAUGCAAAGAAAGAGGGUGGGUGGCUAUUCAUUAAUGGAGCCUUUACUUUGCAGAAGUGCUCUCUCUCCUCUUCUGGCUUCCACAACUGUUCUGAGCUAUCUUGGUUUUCCUUGACCCCGAAGUCUCCUUUUGCAUCCUUUUCUUCCCCGCCCUCAGACUCCGUCCUCCAGAGCUCCUCCCUCAGCCCAGUCCUCAUCACUGGCUCUGUCUGCCCGUGCGAUCCCAUUUGCGCCCAUCGCUUCGACCGUUGCGAGUCUACAUCUGGAGCCUUUACGUCUCUCGGGAACUCCAGGCUCAUCUUUACUAUCUGCAACAUGAGCUGCAUCGCUGCAAGGCGAGGGGCAGGCAGCGAGGGGCGAAGGCUUAGAAGGAGGAAGGCAUGGCCUUCGACAGGAAGCACUGACAACCUCUUUUAGGUUGGACACUGUUCUGGUUGUUUAUUUCUGCUCUAACAAACCACCCCAAAGCUUAGUGGCUUGACACAACUAUUCACUUUUAUUUCUCUUGGUUCUGUGGGUUGAUUGGACUCAGCUGGGUGGUUCUUUAUGGGAGUCUCUCAUGCAAGUAGAUGGCAGGUGGGCUGCAGCCAUCUGAAGGCUUGACUGGGUCAGACGCCCAAAAUGGCCCACUCACCGGCUGGUAGUUGAUGCUGGCUGACGUCUGGGAGCUUGG